rnacentral:rRNA from 1 species
CGGAUUGAAGGCUGAAAUUCGCCUUCAUGAAGCUGGAAUUGCUAGUAAUGGCAGGUCAGCAUACUGCCGUGAAUACGUUCCCGGGCCUUGUACACACCGCCCGUCACACCAUGAGAGUUGGAAAUACCCGAAGCCUGUGAGCUAACUUAAAGAGGCAGCAGUCGAAGGUAGAGCCAAUGAUUGGGGUGAAGUCGUAACAAGGUACC